GAUGAACGCUGGCGGCGUGCCUAAUACAUGCAAGUCGAGCGAACAGACGAGGAGCUUGCUCCUCUGACGUUAGCGGCGGACGGGUGAGUAACACGUGGAUAACCUACCUAUAAGACUGGGAUAACUUCGGGAAACCGGAGCUAAUACCGGAUAAUAUAUUGAACCGCAUGGUUCAAUAGUGAAAGACGGUUUUGCUGUCACUUAUAGAUGGAUCCGCGCCGCAUUAGCUAGUUGGUAAGGUAACGGCUUACCAAGGCAACGAUGCGUAGCCGACCUGAGAGGGUGAUCGUCAACCCUGAACCUGAACAACGUUCAGACUCCUACGGGAGGCAGCAGUAGGGAAUCUUCCGCAAUGGGCGAAAGCCUGACGGAGCAACGCCGCGUGAGUGAUGAAGGUCUUCGGAUCGUAAAACUCUGUUAUUAGGGAAGAACAAAUGUGUAAGUAACUAUGCACGUCUUGACGGUACCUAAUCAGAAAGCCACGGCUAACUACGUG
rnacentral:rRNA from 1 species